AUUGAACGCUGGCGGAAUGCUUUACACAUGCAAGUCGAGCGGCAGCGCGGGGGGUAACCCCUGGCGGCGAGCGGCGAACGGGUGAGUAAUACAUCGGAACGUACCCUGACGUGGGGGAUAACUAACCGAAAGGUUAGCUAAUACCGCAUACGUCCUGAGGGAGAAAGCAGGGGAUCGCAAGACCUUGCGCGUUAGGAGCGGCCGAUGGCGGAUUAGCUUGUUGGUGAGGUAAAGGCUCACCAAGGCGACGAUCCGUAGCUGGUCUGAGAGGACGACCAGCCACACUGGAACUGAGACACGGUCCAGACUCCUACGGGAGGCAGCAGUGGGGAAUUUUGGACAAUGGGGGCAACCCUGAUCCAGCCAUUCCGCGUGAGUGAAGAAGGCCUUCGGGUUGUAAAGCUCUUUCGGCAGGGAAGAAACGGCUAAGGCUAAUACCUUUGGUCAAUGACGGUACCUGAAGAAGAAGCACCGGCUAACUACGUGCCAGCCGCCGCCGUAAGAC
rnacentral:rRNA from 1 species